rnacentral:rRNA from 1 species
UACAGAGGGUGCGAGCGUUGUCCGGAAUCACUGGGCGUAAAGGGCGCGUAGGCGGCCUGAUGAGUAGGGGGUGAAAUCCUGUGGCUUAACUGCAGGGCUGCCUCCUAGACUGUUAGGCUCGAGCACGGUAGAGGCAGAUGGAAUUCCCGGUGUAGCGGUGGAAUGCGUAGAGAUCGGGAAGAACAUCGGUGGCGAAGGCGGUCUGCUGGGCCGUUGCUGACGCUGAGGCGCGACAGCGUGGGGAGCAAACAGG